GGGUAGUUUGACUGGGGCGGUCUCCUCCUAAAGAGUAACGGAGGAGCACGAAGGUUGGCUAAUCCUGGUCGGACAUCAGGAGGUUAGUGCAAUGGCAUAAGCCAGCUUGACUGCGAGCGUGACGGCGCGAGCAGGUGCGAAAGCAGGUCAUAGUGAUCCGGUGGUUCUGAAUGGAAGGGCCAUCGCUCAACGGAUAAAAGGUACUCCGGGGAUAACAGGCUGAUACCGCCCAAGAGUUCAUAUCGACGGCGGUGUUUGGCACCUCGAUGUCGGCUCAUCACAUCCUGGGGCUGAAGUAGGUCCCAAGGGUAUGGCUGUUCGCCAUUUAAAGUGGUACGCGAGCUGGGUUUAGAACGUCGUGAGACAGUUCGGUCCCUAUCUGCCGUGGGCGCUGGAGAACUGAGGGGGGCUGCUCCUAGUACGAGAGGACCGGAGUGGACGCAUCACUGGUGUUCGGGUUGUCAUGCCAAUGGCACUGCCCGGUAGCUAAAUGCGGAAGAGAUAAGUGCUGAAAGCAUCUAAGCACGAAACUUGCCCCGAGAUGAGUUCUCCCUGACUCCUUGAGAGUCCUGAAGGAACGUUGAAGACGACGACGUUGAUAGGCCGGGUGUGUAAG
rnacentral:rRNA from 1 species